CCAGAUGACGCUGGCGGCGUGCUUAACACAUGCAAGUCGAACGAUGAUCUCCAGCUUGCUGGGGGGAUUAGUGGCGAACGGGUGAGUAACACGUGAGUAACCUGCCCUUGACUCUGGGAUAAGCCUGGGAAACUGGGUCUAAUACCGGAUACGACCGUCCCGCGCAUGCGGUGGUGGUGGAAAGCUUUUGCGGUUUUGGAUGGACUCGCGGCCUAUCAGCUUGUUGGUGGGGUAAUGGCCUACCAAGGCGACGACGGGUAGCCGGCCUGAGAGGGUGACCGGCCACACUGGGACUGAGACACGGCCCAGACUCCUACGGGAGGCAGCAGUGGGGAAUAUUGCACAAUGGGCGAAAGCCUGAUGCAGCGACGCCGCGUGAGGGAUGACGGCCUUCGGGUUGUAAACCUCUUUCAGUAGGGAAGAAGCGAAAGUGACGGUACCUGCAGAAGAAGCGCCGGCUAACUACGUGCCAGCAGCCGCGGUAAUACGUAGGGCGCAAGCGUUAUCCGGAAUUAUUGGGCGUAAAGAGCUCGUAGGCGGUUUGUCGCGUCUGCUGUGAAAGACCGGGGCUCAACUCCGGUUCUGCAGUGGGUACGGGCAGACUAGAGUGAUGUAGGGGAGACUGGAAUUCCUGGUGUAGCGGUGAAAUGCGCAGAUAUCAGGAGGAACACCGAUGGCGAAGGCAGGUCUCUGGGCAUUAACUGACGCUGAGGAGCGAAAGCAUGGGGAGCGAACAGGAUUAGAUACCCUGGUAGUCCAUGCCGUAAACGUUGGGCACUAGGUGUGGGGGACAUUCCACGUUUUCCGCGCCGUAGCUAACGCAUUAAGUGCCCCGCCUGGAGA
rnacentral:rRNA from 1 species